AGAGUUUGAUCCUGGCUCAGAACGAACGCUGGCGGCGUGCUUAAUACAUGCAAGUCGAACGUGAAUCCCGACUUCGGUUGGGAUGAAAGUGGCGAACGGGUGAGUAACACGUAAGUAAUCUGCCUUCAAGUUUGGGAUAACCCUGCCAACGCGGGGCUAAUACCGGAUGUGGUCCAGCUGACACAUGUUGGCUGGAUUAAAGGUCGCGAGGCCGCUUGGAGAUGAGCUUGCGGCCCAUUAGUUAGUUGGUGAGGUAACGGCCCACCAAGACGAAGAUGGGUAGCCGGCCUGAGAGGGUGUACGGCCACAUUGGGACUGAGAUACGGCCCAGACUCCUACGGGAGGCAGCAGUAGGGAAUUUUGCGCAAUGGACGGAAGUCUGACGCAGCAACGCCGCGUGAAGGAUGACGGCCUUCGGGUUGUAAACUUCUGUUGGAUGGGAAAAAAAGCCUAGGAAUAGGAAUUGAUGGUACCAUUCGAGUAAGCACCGGCUAACUACGUGCCAGCAGCCGCGGUAAU
rnacentral:rRNA from 1 species